GGGGAAUCUUGCACAAUGGGGGAAACCCUGAUGCAGCGACGCCGCGUGAACGAUGAAGCCCUUCGGGGUGUAAAGUUCUUUCGACAGGAACGAUAAUGACGGUACCUGGAGAAGAAGCUGCGGCUAACUACGUGCCAGCAGCCGCGGUAAUACGUAGGCAGCGAGCGUUGUUCGGAGUUACUGGGCGUAAAGAGUGCGUAGGCGGCGAGCCAAGUUUGGUGUGAAAUCUCCCGGCUUAACCGGGAGGGUGCGCCGAAAACUGGUUGGCUGGAGUAUGGGAGAGGAAAGCGGAAUUCCUGGUGUAGCGGUGAAAUGCGUAGAUAUCAGGAGGAACACCUGCGGUGUAGACAGCUUUCUGGACCAAAACUGACGCCGAGGCACGAAAGCGUGGGUAGCAAACA
rnacentral:rRNA from 1 species